rnacentral:rRNA from 1 species
ACUCCUACGGGAGGCAGCAGUGGGAAUAUUGCACAAUGGGCGCAAGCCUGAUGCAGCCAUGCCGCGUGUAUGAAGAAGGCCUUCGGGUUGUAAAUGUACUUUCAGCAGUGAGGAAGGCGGUGACGUUAAUAGCGUGCUCGUUUUGACGUAGCUGCAGAAAGAAGCACCGGCUAACUCCGUGCCAGCAGCCGCGGUAAUACGGAGGGUGCGAGCGUUAAUCGGAAUUACUGGGCGUAAAGCGCAUGCAGGUGGUUUGUUAAGUCAGAUGUGAAAGCCCGGGGCUCAACCUCGGAAUAGCAUUUGAAACUGGCAGACUAGAGUACUGUAGAGGGGGUAGAAUUUCAGGUGUAGCGGUGAAAUGCGUAGAGAUCUGAAGGAAUACCGGUGGCGAAGGCGGCCCCCUGGACAGAUACUGACACUCAGAUGCGAAAGCGUGGGGAGCAAACAGGAUUAGAUACCCUGGUAGGCUC